rnacentral:rRNA from 1 species
UAAGGAAUAUUGCUCAAUGGGAGAAAUCCUGAAGCAGCAACGCCGCGUGGAGGAUGAAGGGUCUAUGACUUGUAAACUCCUGUAAAGAAGGAAAAAGUUCCCAUUUGAUGGGAGAUGAUGGUACUUCUGGAGUAAGCCCCGGCUAACUACGUGCCAGCAGCCGCGGUAAUACGUAGGGGGCAAGCGUUGUCCGGAUUUACUGGGUGUAAAGGGUGCUCAGGCGGAUUUGUAAGUCAGAGGUGAAAUCUUACAGCUUAACUGUGAAACUGCCUUUGAUACUGCAAGCCUAGAGUAUGGAAGAGAGUGAUGGAAUAUCUGGUGUAGCAGUGAAAUGCGUAGAUAUCAGAUAGAACACCAAUGGCGAAGGCAGUCACUUGGUCCAUUACUGACGCUAAAGCACGAAAGCGUGGGUAGCAAACA